AAUGGGGGAAACCCUGAUGCAGCGAUGCCGCGUGAGUGAAGAAGGCCCUUGGGUUGUAAAACUCUUUCGUCGGGGAAGAAAAUGACUGUACCCGAAUAAGAAGGUCCGGCUAACUUCGUGCCAGCAGCCGCGGUAAUACGAAGGGACCUAGCGUAGUUCGGAAUUACUGGGCUUAAAGAGCUCGUAGGUGGUUAAAAAAGUUGAUGGUGAAAUCCCAAGGCUCAACCUUGGAACUGCCAUCAAAACUUUUUAGCUAGAGUGUGAUAGAGGUAAGUGGAAUUUCUAGUGUAGAGGUGAAAUUCGUAGAUAUUAGAAAGAACACCAAAUGCGAAGGCAACUUACUGGGUCACUACUGACACUGAGGAACGAAAGCAUGGGUAGCGAAGAGGAUU
rnacentral:rRNA from 1 species